GUCCAUUAUGUAUCUUUCAUUAGAACAUUCUAGACCAAAAAAAAAAAAUUUGAGAGCAAAAAGGGAAAAGGCCUCUCGGCCGAAAGAGAAAGAGGAAAAAAAAACAUGUGGAGCUCAAAUCUUUGGUUCAAAAGUCAUCUCUUGUGAAUUCCUACUAAGCCCGGAACCCUCUUCAACGUGGUAUAAACUUUGAGGCAAGAAAGUACUUUUUUUACAAAGAGGAGAAUUUGGAAAAGAUAUUGGAGAGCCCGAGACUUGAGUCGGGAUUUGUUUGGCGAGGGAUCGAGAUUUGGUAGUGAGCGAUCGAGGUACGGACGCUCGUUUUGGUGAUCCUCCAGUAUAGGAUAUAUAUUCUGCCACUUGGAUUACUCCUUUUGAUCCGGAGCUCAUAUUUUUGGUACAUAUCUUUUGUUAUGCAUAUUCUGUAUAUAUAUAUAUGGCUAUUUGGGUACGGCGGGGCCCUGUUCCGUCAUAUGUUUCUGUUAUGAUUUGUAGAGGCUUGUAGUCAUAUAUGUGGGUCAUGGGUUAUGUUUGUUCGUUUGUGAUUAUGAUCUGCGUCUCAAUGCGGCCCCGUUUGCUAUUAUGGCCAAAACGGCCCAUUUGUCUGUAUAUGUGUAUAUAUCUGGCGAUGUGUAUUCCGCCAACCUAUCAGAUUUGGAUAUGAUGUUUCUGUACGGGCGACCGCUUUAGAUGAUAUUUGUUUUCAGUAUUUGC